rnacentral:rRNA from 1 species
CCUACGGGUGGCAGCAGUCGAGAAUCAUUCACAAUGGGGGAAACCCUGAUGGUGCGACGUCGCGUGGGGGAAUGAAGGUCUUCGGAUUGUAAACCCCUGUCAUGUGGGAGCAAAUUAAAAAGAUAGUACCACAAGAGGAAGAGACGGCUAACUCUGUGCCGGCAGCCCCGGUAAUACAGAGGUAUCAAGCGUUGUUCGGCAUCACUGGGCGUAAAGCGUGCGUAGGCUGUUUCGUAAGUCGUGUGUGAAAGGCGCGGGCUCAACCCGCGGACGGCACAUGAUACUGCGAGACUAGAGUAAGGGAGGGGGAACCGGAAUUCUCGGUGUAGCAGUGAAAUGCGUAGAUAUCGAGAGGAACACUCGUGGCGAAGGCGGGUUCCUGGACAUUAACUGACGCUGAGGCACGAAGGCCAGGGGAGCGAAAGGGAUUAGAUACCCUUGUAGUC